UCGAGCGAAGCAGUAAGUUGAUUUCUUCGGAUUGAUUCUUAAUUGACUGAGCGGCGGACGGGUGAGUAACGCGUGGGUGACCUGCCCCAUACCGGGGGAUAACAGCUGGAAACGGCUGCUAAUACCGCAUAAGCGCACAGAGCUGCAUGGCUCGGUGUGAAAAACUCCGGUGGUAUGGGAUGGGCCCGCGUCUGAUUAGGCAGUUGGCGGGGUAACGGCCCACCAAACCGACGAUCAGUAGCCGGCCUGAGAGGGCGACCGGCCACAUUGGGACUGAGACACGGCCCAAACUCCUACGGGAGGCAGCAGUGGGGAAUAUUGCACAAUGGGGGAAACCCUGAUGCAGCGACGCCGCGUGAGCGAAGAAGUAUUUCGGUAUGUAAGGCUCUAUCAGCAGGGAAGAUAAUGACGGUACCUGACUAAGAAGCCCCGGCUAACUACGUGCCAGCAGCCGCGGUAAUACGUAGGGGGCAAGCGUUAUCCGGAUUUACUGGGUGUAAAGGGAGCGUAGACGGCAAGGCAAGUCUGAUGUGAAAACCCAGGGCUUAACCCUGGGACUGCAUUGGAAACUGUCUGGCUCGAGUGCCGGAGAGGUAAGCGGAAUUCCUAGUGUAGCGGUGAAAUGCGUAGAUAUUAGGAAGAACACCAGUGGCGAAGGCGGCUUACUGGACGGUAACUGACGUUGAGGCUCGAAAGCGUGGGGAGCAAAC
rnacentral:rRNA from 1 species